CGAGUCAGCAAGGUGCUGAGGUGGCCGGCCGGCUCCGCCCUCCUGCACGCCUGGGAGUGGUGUAGGGCUGUGGAGAGGCCCACCCAGCGCACGUUGCUUAUACCACAAGAUUGAAGUCAAUGGGCCUGCCCAUAAAAUGAAAGUCUACCGUGAAGGACUAGAGUGAUGUCCUCUGCUUCCAGGAACUCUUCUCAUUGUAGGCCUUUUGAGGUGAUUAUUCUGACAAACACUUGCUCACGUCUGAAAAAAUGGCACACAUGGUUGGAAGCAGUAUGCGUCUGAAUACCAGCUGCUGGAAAUUACAGAGGUGAUUGC